AGCAGCAUGGCGCAGUUGGAAGCGCGCGGGGCCCAUAUACACUGGGAUCUGGAUGUAUGUGCCACCCCGAGGUCACUCGAUCGAAACGAGUUGCUGCUA